UCUCCCAUGCCACUUUUAUCUCGCUUUUAUUUUGAAAUUGUAAGCAGCAUUUUUCUGGUAACAGAAUCUGGUAACACAUUUUUGAAUGAAUGAAUCAAUUCAUGACUUUUGCCCAAGUCCGAUAAUACUUCCAAGUCAUUUAUUUAAUUAGAUAUAGUCAAACUGUUUCUUCUGUUUGUUGAGAAGCAUUUAGAUGUAAGAAUAGCCAAUUGACUGGAUUGUUCCAGGCUUCUGGAGGAGUUUGUUUGGGAAGUGCUUCUGGCACCUGGUCUUGCAAUAUUAUGUGAAAAGGUGAUACAUCCUGGUGAGUGAAGUGUGUGGCAUAAAUAGAUGCUAUAAAAAUUCAGUGCUACCCAUCUUCAGUUCCUUUCAGUUGGAAGUGUGCUUGGUUUUUAGUUUUCAGUUCCUUUUGACACUUUGCUUUUUAUCAGCAACAGGGGAUGUGUUGUCUUAUCUACCAUUUUACAUCUCUGCUUUAAAAGGUAACCCUUUUCCCUCAGUAAAAACAAAUUAAAGGUCUGUUUUUCUUAAUGUCUAAGAUUAUUAUCUUAGGAAAUGAGUCAGAGAAAAUGUAUCUGCAUAAAAUAGCAAUAGUUGCAGCUGUUCUUAGUGAAAUGCAUUGUUCUAGCAAGAACCCAGUGUACUGUGGCCAAAAUCUUUGCCAAUCAAGUCAACAUGCAGAGUUCUGUAUCUGAUAUCAACCUCUUUCUAAAGUAUAUCUCUCUUAAGCCCAUUUGGAGUGGAUCAAAAUGUCCACAGUUCUGUUCUUACACUCCCCUUUGGGAGACAUAGCUUAUCUUCCCCUUGAAUUUGGCUUUUCCUUUGACGAUUUAACCAACAGAACAUAGUGGAUGUGAUAAUUUGCUUUAGGGACUCAAUGCAUUAAAGCAUCUGGCAGCUUCUAAUUUUGGAAACAGAGUGGCUAUAUAAAAAAAUCUGGCUACCAUUGGAGAGAUCACAGGUCACUGCAGGGAGAGUAGAAUGAUCCAUUUCAGCAUCUAAAAAAAGUAUUUUUAUUUAUUUUUUCCAUAGUGGGGAUGAAACCCAGGGGUGUUCUCCCUCUGAAUUAUAUCCCUACUCUUUCUUAUUCUUGAGACAGAGUCUCACUAUGUUGCUUAGGUUGGCCUUGAACUUGUGAUCCUCCUGCCUUUGCCUCCAGAGUCACUGAGAUUAUAGACGUGUGCCACAGUAUCCAGCUCAAGGAAAGUUUUUCAAUAUCUUUGGUGUCAUCUUCUGACAACAGAAUUGCCCUCGUGAGCUCAGUCAACCUACAGAAGGUUCCAGAAGCUUGGAAGUCCAGUAUCAAGAUGCUGACUGAUUUGGUGUCUGAUGAGGGUCCAUUUCCUAGUCUACAGAUGAAACCUUCAUGCAUCCUCAAAUGGUGGAAGACAUGAGGGACUUCUGGGUCCUAUGUAUUAUGUUUGUAUGUUGAUGUGAUUUUUAUAUGUGUGGUAAUGGGAUCAAACCCAGAACUUCGCUCAUGCCAGGCAAACACUCUACAACACUUUACCACUGAGCCAUGUCUCCAGCCCCAUAACUUCAUAUUUUAACUUUUUGCAGUGCUGAAUAUGGAACACAGGGUCUCAUGUAUGCUAAGCAACCCCUCGAUCUCUAAGCCACAUUGCAGGGUGGGUCCUGUUAAUAACUAUAUUAAUCCCAUUGUUAAGGGCUCUGCUUCCCAAAAGCCCUACCUCAACACACCUGCACAUUGUAGUUUGGUUCCAAUAUUUAAAGGCUGGGAGAUAAACAUUGAGUUGAUAGCAUGCCUCAUUUUGUUAAGCCUAAUGUGUAACAUGACAGGAAAAGAUGCCAAAUUUAGGUGGGGAUCAGCAACAGGUUGCUGCAGCAGCCCUACAUUUGAGAAGAGUCCACAUUAAUAUAAAACAAAAUGAAACGAUGUGAUACCUCAGGCCUGCAUGGCCGGUGGGCAUCACUUCCUGAAGUUUUCCUUUCACACCUAUUUCUUUAUCACUGUCAUUUUCUGGGUCAACUUCUAUUGCUUAGCUUACCCCAAUUAUAGGUUCUACUUCCUGAACCUUGGCAUAUGUGAUCAGUUUUAAUUUAUAUUGUAAAUCCUAAAUGGUCAAGUUCCUGGA